GAUGAAGAACGCAGUGAAACGCGAUAUGUAAUGUGAAUUGCAGAAUUCAGUGAAUCAUCGAAUCUUUGAACGCACAUGGCGCCUUCCAGUAUCCUGGGAGGCAUGCCUGUCCGAGCGUCGUUUCAACCCUCGAGCCCUCGUGGCCCGGCGUUGGGGAUCUGCCACGGCAGGCCCCGAAAUACAGUGGCGGACCCGUUAGGCCCUUCCUUUGCGUAGUAGCAUCAGCCUCGCAUCGGGAGCCGGCGGGCUCUCCUGCCUCUAAACCCCCCAACAAGCCCGCUCCGGUGGCACCAAGGUUGACCUCGGAUCAGGUAGGAAUACCCGCUGAACUUAAGCAUAUCAAUAAGCGGAGGA
rnacentral:misc_RNA from 1 species